UGCCAACGCUUUUGACAAGUCAAACUUUUCUAAACAUCAAGAAAAUCAUGCUGCUGAGAAAUCCUAGAAAUGUGAAGAAUGUGACAAAGCCUCUAAAUGAUUGUCACACUUGAUCGUAGGUAAGAUAAUUCAUACUGGAGAAAACUACCAGUGUGAACAAUGUGGCCAAGCUUUGAACUAAUGCUCACACCUUAAUGCAUAGGAAAGCAUUUAUGCUUGAGAAAAAGUGAACAAAUAUAGACAAAAAGCCAUUAAUACCUGCUCACAUCGUACUCAAAUUCAGAGCGUUCAUACUAAAUAAGAAGUGUAAUUACUGUCAAACGACUGAUCAGAAAAUAUGUCUUUAAAGUACAGAAGAGUAUUUUGAAAAAGCAUUACAAAUAUGAAGAGGCAUUAUUUAUGACCUUUUCUAUGGAAAGGCCUUGCUGUCUCUAACUCUGAUCUGAUAUCCUGCUUUGAGCAAAUAAAAGAGCCCUGGAAUGUGAAGAGACAUGAGACAGUAGUCAGCUUCUCAGCUUUUUAAUUUAAAGUCUGUUUUAUUUGAUACGGAGUCUUGCUCCAUCGCCAGGCUGGAGUGCAGUGGCGCGAUCUCGUCCCACUGCUCACUGCAACCUCUGCCUCCCCUAUUGAAGUGAUUCUCCUGUCUCAGCCUCCUGAGUAGCUGGGACUACAGGCACACACCACCACGCUCAGCUAAUUUUUGUAUUUUCAGAAGAGACGGGGUUUCAUCAUAUUCACCAGGCUGGU
rnacentral:lncRNA from 1 species